UUUCCCUCAUUUUUUUUUGAUAAAGAAAAAAAAAAUCUGUUGUUCUGUGAAAUAAAAAGAAGAAGAAGGAGUAGCAUACCAAGAUCAAUAAUAGAUCUGUUCGAAAAGAGUUUCUUCCAUAUCCUUCAAGUUUUUACUGAGAAAUAAAUAAUAGUUUUGUUUGUUUGUGAAUGAUAAAGAACAGUAAAGCAAGAGGCGAUGU
rnacentral:lncRNA from 1 species